UGCGUUGGCCAAGUGACAUCCACAAUCAAGACAACAACUUCUUUACCCUGGAGGAAUUACCACAAAGUGAUGGAGGCCCUUACAGUAUGGAUCAAGCACACCUGCCCUCAAAAUAAUACAACAAAAAUAAAAAGGCAUGGAAAGUUUAACCAGACGAGGGACAUCUUCUCUUUUUAUCAAAAAUAAACACUAAUACAAUCAUCCAACUAUCUCCUCUUAUAAUCAAAAAUUGUAUUCUUUACACCAACCACAAAUACAAUCAGGCAACACUUUCCACUUCAACUUAGGCAUAA
rnacentral:lncRNA from 1 species